rnacentral:lncRNA from 1 species
AAAUUUAGCGCUAUGUUAAGCAAUCAUAAUUGGACUUAUGUAGAAGUCACAACUAUUUGAGGUUGGGCAAUAGAAUUUUGGUGUUAAUACAUGUUAGAGACAUAGUAUGAUGAACUAUGCUCAUGAAAUAUACCACACACAAAAAGAAUAUGCAAAGUGGGGGACCUAAUCUCAUUCAUACUUAUGUUGAUUUUGUAAUCAACUAGCCUUAGGAUAUAGAGACAUUAUAGGUCCAUGACAUGAAUGCAUAAAGAAUGGGAAUGAAACGAAGAGGGAAGGGGAAUGGAUAAAACAC